rnacentral:lncRNA from 1 species
GUAGAUACUUGAAUUGAUUUGCUCAGACUCCAUUUCAACCUGUUUCCAUUAGCAGUGUUCAGAAAGCUAAAAACAUUUUUGAAACUUUCCAAAAAGGAUGAGAGUCAAGAUAAGGUCACUGGGAUUCAGAAAUGAGAUGGAGGCCAUUUUCUACAGCUUUGUUGGCUGAGAAACAAUUCUGAAAAUCCUAACUAUUGGAGAACUUGGCUCCACUUCUAGUGUCUGGGCACCAGUGUCACAGAUAGGAAACAACUGAGAUGGCAGUGAUAGCUGC